AUUGAACGCUGGCGGCAGGCCUAACACAUGCAAGUCGCGCGAGAGGCGGACGGGUGAGUAAUGUCUGGGAAACUGCCUGAUGGAGGGGGGUAACUACUGGAAAAGGUAGCUAAUACCGCAUACCAUCAGAUGUGCCCAGAUGGGACUAGCUAGUAGGUGGGGUACAGGCUCACCUAGGCGACGAUCCCUACCUGGUCUGCGAGGAUGACCAGCCACCCUGGAACGAGGCCACGGUCCAGUCGCCUACGGGAGUCAGAAUUGGGGAAUAUUGCACAAUGGGCGCAGGCCUGAUGCAGACAGGCCGCGUUGGUCAAGAGGGCUUUCGGGUUUUAAGGCACGUUCAGCGGGGAGGCGUUACCCGCAGAAGAAGCACCGGCUAACUCCGUGCCAGCCGCCGCGGUAAUAC
rnacentral:rRNA from 1 species